AAACGAAACGCCUUCGGGCGUCCGCCGGCGAUGGCCUCCCGGCGCUGAUGAGUUAGGCCUCA
rnacentral:hammerhead_ribozyme from 1 species